AGGGGGGCCGUAAAAAGUUGGUGCUCGGUUCGGAAUAACAGAGGAGCUUGCUCCUUGGGUGACAGUGGCGGACGGGUGAGUAAUGUCUGGGAAACUGCCCGAUGGAGGGGGAUAACUACUGGAAACGGUAGCUAAUACCGCAUAACGUCGCAAGACCAAAGAGGGGGACCUUCGGGCCUCUUGCCAUCGGAUGUGCCCAGAUGGGAUUAGCUAGUAGGUGGGGUAACGGCUCACCUAGGCGACGAUCCCUAGCUGGUCUGAGAGGAUGACCAGCCGCACUGGAACUGAGACACGGUCCAGACUCCUACGGGAGGCAGCAGUGGGGAAUAUUGCACAAUGGGCGCAAGCCUGAUGCAGCCAUGCCGCGUGUAUGAAGAAGGCCUUCGGGUUGUAAAGUACUUUCAGCGAGGAGGAAGGCGUUGUGGUUAAUAAACCUCAGCGUUGACGUUACUCGCAGAAGAAGCACCGGCUACUCCGUGCAGCAGCCGCGGUAAUACGAGGGUGCAAGCGUUAUCGGAAUUACUGGCGUAAAGCACCGCA
rnacentral:rRNA from 1 species